CUAAAUUUUCUCUACCCGUAAGCCCUCUUUAACACUACUUGGUGAGACAAAAAACACAGAAAAGGAAGUGGUUGGGUUCUAGCUCACAGCGUAUAGACUUUCCUUUUCAUCCAUCUCAAUGUCUCUCUUGUUCUUUUGUGCUUCCUGCAGUAUAUGCAACUCUUGAGCUCUCUACUCUAACAAAUAUGUUUGAUGUACUACUAUUUCUGCUUUUUUACUUUUUUUUUUCCUCUUAUCUUACAUCCGCAAGACCAACUGUGGCCCCCAAAUCUAUGUUGCUUGAUACAGGUCAAAUGCACUAUGUUUAAAAGGUUAUUGCUGUUGGACAAAUGAGAGAUACCCCUAAUGAUUUUACUCAAAGGAAGCGCAUAUGGAUGAAACUUGUAAGGUCAAGUUGGGCAAUCGAUUUAGUGCUAAUGUGAAAAUUGUGUAACAACUAGGAGGGCAAUAUGAUGACUUGUAAGGUCAAGUUGGCACUACUAUGUAUUACGCUAUAAAUGUGUAGCGUAAUCUACGCGCGAAACGAGUCAAUAUUGAUACGAAGAUCAUUGUGUUAAUGGCGUUUCAAUAGAGGGUAUUGUGAUGA